CCCCCCCCACAGCCUCCACCUCUGGUGCGCCACUCCAGGAACAUCUAUAUGGGCAAGCCUGAGGAGAGUGAUCCCCAGAGGAGAUGGCGCUGUGGUCCUCUCCCUCAGUCUCACUUGGCCCAGGGGUUGGUGGAGGCAGAGUAAGAUUGGAUUCAACCAUUGUCAACAUACUGUACAUCAAGUUGAAUUCCUUUAUACCAGGGGUUGGUGGAGGCAGUAAGAUUGGAUUCAACCAUUGUCAACAUACUGUACAUCAAGUUGAAUUCCUUCAUAACAGGGGUUGGUGGAGGCAGUAAGAUUGGAUUCAACCAUUGUCAACAUACUGUACAUCAAGUUGAAUUCCUUUUAUACCAGGGGUUGGUGGAGGCAGUAAGAUUGGAUUCAACCAUUGUCAACAUACUGUACAUCAAGUUGAAUUCCUUUAUACCAGGGGUUGGUGGAGGCAGUAAGAUUGGAUUCAACCAUUGUCAACAUACUGUACAUCAAGUUGAAUUCCUUCAUACCAGGGGUUGGUGGAGGCAGUAAGAUUGGAUUCAACCAUUGUCAACAUACUGUACAUCAAGUUGAAUUUCUUUAUACCAGGGGUUGGUGGAGGCAGUAAGAUUGGAUUCAACCAUUGUCAACAUACUGUACAUCAAGUUGAAUUCCUUUAUACCAGGGGUUGGUGGAGGCAGUAAGAUUGGAUUCAACCAUUGUCAACAUACUGUACAUCAAGUUGAAUUCCUUUAUAUUUGAACUGCAGUUUUAACUAUGACAUGACUUACCUGACUUUAUCCUCUUGGCCCCCUGGAGAGCAUAGGACAUCCACCAUGGUUCCCGACCUCCCUCUUCUCUGAGUCCUAUGGUGGGAAAUAUACAUUGACUUGAGUUCUCCAGAGAACUCCAGACACAGUUCAGAAGUGGCCUCCUAUUGGCCCAGCAGAAGUUGUCUGUGAGAAGUCAUCUUGAAAUCACUGUGACUGAAAUGGUCAAGAAGUUUGGGUCGCCUGCUGUCGUUGACAGAGAGGAGUCCAAUCACCCUCUUUAUGAAGAGGUUUUGGUUACGCAGGAAACGCGUACGGGUGGCCAAAGUGACAGGAGUGGGUAGCUCCAGUGCCAUAGAGGCCAGACGUAAGGCAUCGGGGGUGCUCCAAGGCUUUGCUCUGGGCAUGGAUAUCUACUUCACGAAGCAAGAGGAUGCUCCAAGGCUUCGCUCUGGGCAUGGAUAUCUACUUCACGAAGCAAGAGGAUGCUCCAAGGCUUCGCUCUGGGCAUGGAUAUCUACUUCACGAAGCAAGAGGAUGGUCCAAGGCUUCGCUCUGGGCAUGGAUAUCUACUUCACGAAGCAAGAGGAUGGUCCAAAGCUGAAGAAAGGACUGAAGUACAAGUUUGGGGAAAAAGAAACGCAAAGUGUCUCAGCAGCUGAAUGAAGGGCUGGAUGAAGUGUUCGAGGCCAAAGACAAGCUAGCGGAAAAUAAUCUCUUCCUCUGAGGUGGAGGAGACGGAGAAAGAGGAUGAGGAGCCAAAUCAAUGUUUAUUUGUAAGGUGAAAAUAAUAUAGGGUGUAAACUGUACAGUGAAAUUCUUACUUGGAAGCUCUCAACAUUCCAGUAACAUUACACUUUGUCAAAAAUAUUAGCAAUAAAAAAAGUCAUACAAAAUAUGUAGGAAAAUAAACCAUUUUUGGUUAUUUUAUUCUGAUCUGUUCUAUUCUGUCCUAUAAUGUUUUAUUCUAUUAAUAGUUGAGAUUGUCUGUGAAUAAGAAGGCAUGAUGAGGUUGUUAAUCAUGGUUUGUCAGGACUCUUGACAGCUGCUUUUCCAGAUGUAGAUAUUUUUACUAAUAACUUCAACAAAUGCACCACUCGAUUGACUCAAUAUGUAAUAAACAAAUAACCUUGAAUUCAUUAUAUAUACAUCUCCGUCAACAAAAUUGAGAGACAAUAUUUUUGCUCAAACUAUAUUUUUUUCAAAUGAUCUUUCUAAAGAACCAUUUCUAUAUUGUCACGUAUACCAAACAUUAGGAACCUAUUCCUAAUAUUCAGUUGCACCCCCCCCCCCCCCCCCCCCCCCUUUCACUCCCAGAACAGCCUCAAUUCGUUGGGGCAUGGGCUCUACAAGGUGUUGAAAGCGUUCCACAGGGAUGCUGGCCCAUGUUGACUCCAAUGUUUCUCACGGUUGUGUCAAGUUGACUGGAUGUCCUUUGGGUAGUGGACCAUUCCUGAUACACACGGGAAACUGUUGAGCGUGAAAAACCCAGCAGUGUUGCAGUUCUUGAUACAAACCAGUGUGCCUGUCUUGCCCAUUUCCCCCUCUGAAUGGUAUACAUACACAAUCCAUGUCUCAAUUGUCUCUAGGCUUAAAAAUCCAUCUUUAUUCUGUCUCCUCCCCUUCAUCUACACUGAAGUGAAUUUAACAAGUGACAUCAAUAAGGGAUCAUGGCUCUUACCUGGAUUUAACUAGUCAGUCUGUGAUGGAAAUAACAGGUGUUCUUAAUGUUUUGUAUACUCAGUGUAUAUCUGUACUAUACAUUUGUUGUUAAAAAUGUCAAAUAAAUUGACAUUUUUAUUUUUACUACCCACUAGACCCUGACUUUGAAUACCACUGGUCAAAUGGAACCGUAACAUUGUCUGUUUCUCAAAUGGCACCAUAUAGGGCUGUGGUCAAAAGUAGUGCACUACAUGGGGAAUAGGGUACUAGUUUGAUGUACCAUAGACAAUGGAGAACUCAGUGACCUCCACUACUUCUUUAUUUGGCUUUUCAACCACCAGGUGGAGAGAUUGGACAUGUAUUCAUUAUAAUGUAAUAAUGAGUUGUCAUCAGAAUAUAACUAAACCAUAUCUGUUUAUAAAAUUGAAAUUA